rnacentral:SRP_RNA from 1 species
CUGUUGGUUCUCUCGCAGUACUAACUUGUGAAUUCGGUCAGGUCCGGAAGGAAGCAGCCGUAGCAGGCGAUGUAUGUGCCGAGAUGUAGCUUUCAGAGCU